AUAUCUACCUAAUGGAGGAAGGAUGGCCAGCCACACAGGAGGGUGAUUUUUACUAAGGAGGAGAAGGAGGCUGUGCUGACCGAGAUGCAUGCUGGCCAUUUGGGAGUGAAGCGCAUGAUUGCCAAAAUCAACCUACACUUCUUCUGACGGGGAAUUGUCAAGGAGGUUUGGUGAAUGGACCAACCAGACCCUCAAGACUGCUUUGGGCAAGUCCCUUGAUUGGUACCAGGAAGGGUGGAAGAACAACCUGAAGAUCACUGAAACCCCACCUGAUGUGGUGCAAGUUGUCGAACCAGAUCAGAACCCCUUUGAGGACCACCUUCAGGCACGGACUGAGAAGGAUGUGGAGGUUUUUGACAAAGUGAGACUGACCAUCGACAAGGCACAGGAGAAACAGAAGGAGAGCUAACGGAGCAGAAUCAAGAAAGGGAACAAGUGCUACGACAUCCUGGCAAAUUACCUGGUUUGGAAGAAGGACGAAAGGAAGGCGAGACCUGGGAAUCCUCGCUGCUCUUUCGCUCCUAGCUGAGAUCACCAUCUGUUAAAUCUUCCUAGGUUUACCUCGGUGGAAGCCAACAAUCUUCUCCAGUUGGAUGGUCGACUACUCAAAGCACUGACGCCCUACACUUCAGUGAAGCCCAGUAGACAAAGACCAUCAACUGUCCGAGCCCUCCAGGACAUAUCUCAUCCACCAGAACCAAUGAGUUCGGAUCAGUCUGAUUCUCUGUGCUCUGAGUCAGAGGGGGACCAGCUUGAGGACCUAGGGGUUCUGCCCACCACCCAGACGUGGAUCCACCUGAUGUCCUCCACUACCUGUUCUCCAGGACCUAGGGGUUCUGCCCAACACCCAGACGUGGAUCCACCUGAUGGCCUCCAUUACCAACCACCCUCCAACUUUUCAUUACAUCAUCUACAGCUACUGUUAAGGUCAUUAUCUGCUAACAACAUUUGUUUUGCUCUAUCAUACUGGGCACAUAAUAUGUAAGAUACACAGAUGAACUAUGAACACGAGCACUGCAAACACUCAGAACAACGAGAGCAGCAGAGCCCCCCCUCCGAGACUGGCUGCCUGUUGAGAACAAGUGACAACCUCCCACCCACACAGCAACCACCUCCUCUAUAUUCCAGAAACCAGAAUUCACUAUUUUAGUCUGAUUGCCAUGUGAGUGUACAAAACAACUAUCAAAGUUUAUGUAUUCAAAUCUUAAAUUUUGCCAUGUUGGUGCUGGGAUCUUGCCAAAUAAA